GCUGUCAGUCAAUCUUAGUACCGCCCCCUGUAAUGGCAGCAGGGUUGGCUCUACUGUAAAUAAUCGAUGAGGAAGAUCAGCUUUCUGUAUUAAGCAUAAUGUUGACUUUAUGAAUCAUCCACACUAACAUAUUCAGUCUACCAUGAGUACAGUGGGAGAAAAUCAGCUGCAGAGAAUAAUCAGAGAUCUGCAUGAUGCAGUUUCUGAGCUGAGCAAAGAACAUCGUGAUACUGGCGAGCCCAUCACUGAUGACAGCUCCAGCCUUCACAAGUUUUGCUAUAAACUGGAGUACCUACUGCAGUUUGACCAGAAAGAGAGGACCACAUUUCUGGGCAGCAGGAAAGACUACUGGGACUAUUUCUGUGACUGCUUGGCCAAGAUUAAAGGAGCUAAUGACGGCAUUCGCUUUGUCAAAUCAAUCCCCGAGCUGAAGACAUCAUUAGGGAAAGGACGGGCUUUCAUUCGCUACUGUCUGGUGCACCAAAGGCUGGCAGACACUCUUCAGCAAUGUCUUAUGAACUACAAAACCACAUGUGAGUGGUAUUAUGAACGCAGUCCCUUCCUGAAGUCCCAUCUGAACAUUGAUCUCAUCAACCACCUGUAUGAACUCAAUGAGGUCCAGUUUGAUGUAGCAUCCCGAGGUCACGACCUUGACUCUGACUGGCCCACUUUUGCUAGAAAGACUCUGGGAUCAGCUAUCUCACCCGCCCAUGCGUGGAAACCACCCAGUCGCUGCUCUAGUGUCAACAGUCUGGUUAGCAGUUACUCACAGCAAGCUCAAGAGUUUCUUCCAGGCCAAGAUUUUGGCUCUAGUCUUCUAGGUGAUCUCGGGGAAUUAGGUGAGUUGUCCUGUAGUGCUUCUGAGGAUCUGCGCAUUGAGCUCGACCAGUCAGAGUUGAAACAACAAGAGCUCCAAGAGAAGAUCAGGCAACUCACCAGUGAAGCAGCUGAUCUGAAGGCCGUGGUCCAAGACCUACAGGAGCAACUCUUGGCUAAAGGUCCUAAUCAAGAGAAAGAAGAAGAUCAGGAGGUGGUGAAAGCUGUUAGAGAGUGUGCAGAUCACCUCCAUACCGCCACACAGGGACUGGAGGCUCUACGGACAUCAGAACGCAACCUAGAAGCCAAACUGAGCAUUGCGGAGAACAGAAACAUGGAGUUGCUAGCAAAACUUGACGGAGCUCUGAGCGAAAAAGGACAGCAGGCCACCAACUACUGCGACUCGGCCUGGAAGAUCCAAGAGCUCCUGACCAAGCUAAAGGAGGCAGAGGAAGAGAGGAUUGAGUGUAAACGAGAAAGCAAAGAUCAGGCGAGACUAGCUGAGCAACUUGCCCAGGAGCUGAAGCUUCAGGAAGAGAAACUAAAGGAGACGGAAAACAAACUGGACACUUGUAGAGUGUCUGCCGACAAAGAACGAACAACCGCAAUGCAGCAGGCUGAUGAGCUGCAGAUGACCAUCAACCGCCUUCAAGGAGCACUUUCUCUGAAGGAGCGGGAAACGGGGAACCUACGGACUCAGCUGCAGGACAUGCAGAGAGCACUGGAGACCAAGGACGGCCAACUGGAGGAGCACAAGAAAAUGAUAGAAGAGGAGCUACAGCAUAAAAGUGUGCUUGAAGAACAACUAAAUGCAAAGGUGACUGAGUUGUCCUCCGUUGCCCAAAAGAUCCGGCAACUGGAGAAUCUAAACCAGCGGUUGACUUCGGAGAGUCAGAGCUUCCAAAUGCAAGCCAAGAAACUGGAAGAGUACAAGAACCAGUGCACAAGUUUAAUGGAGAUCAAUGCCAAGCUGAUCCAAACGGUGAAGAGAAAUGAAGAGAGCAGCAAGGAGCUGGUGCAAGCCAACAACACUCUAGAGAGAGAACUCAUUACCACACAGGCCUCUGAGAAGCAACUGAGAACCAGAUUAGAGUCCGCUGGACUGACAGUGGAGAACCAAAAUCUUGAGGAGUGCAUACAGAACUGCCAGAUGAACAGCGAGGAAACCAAAAUCGAACAACUUGGAGAGAAUAGUAUAUUAAGCCAGGAAGAACUAAAUGAGAGAGGUACAGUCCCCCAGGGGAACAAGACGGCGACUUCUAGUCUCCUUCGGGAGGCUAAUGAAUCCUCAAGAACUGAUAAUGGAGAAUCUACUUCUAGGUUGGCUCUGGCUGAGGCCCAACUUGAACUCAACAUGAAGGACGUUUCCAGACUCCAGGAAGAGGUCAUGGAGCUCCGGGCGCUGCUAUUGGUGAGCUCAGAGGAGAAAAUAAAGAUCCAGGCUCUGCAGGAAGUGACGGAAGCCUCCAGAGAAGAUCUCCGGGCUCAGGUGGAGCAACUAAAGUCCCAGGUUGAAGAGCUAAACCGUAGGCAUGUGGAGGAACUGCUGCGUUGCCGAGAAAGAGAGGACUCUCUGGUAAAGGAGAGGGAUAUGGAGGCCCAUGUGCGGGCAGAAAUCCAAACGAACCUGACUGCCGUGAGGGAAGAGCUUCACGUGUUGAAGACGCAGAACAGCACGUUUGCGCUUGAGAACGGAGAGGCUCGUGAGGCCUUACACAGGGCCAACACUGAGACAGCAGAGCUUGGGGUUCACGUUUGCAUGCUGACAGGACAGAACGAGGAGUCUCAGUUGCGAUGGGAAGAGCUUUCUACCAAACUGCAGGAGCUACAGAUGGAGGCGCAGGAAGAGGUGGAAACUCUAAGUGAUUCAAUGGAGGCCUUGAGAAAAGAUAAUGCAAGACUCCAAGAGCAGCUAAAGCAGACUGAAGGACUCCCAGAAGCCAUGCAGAAGUUGCAGGAAAGACUUGAACAGGUGGAAGAAGAAGCCAAAAGCGUCCAAAAGAUCCGACAAAGGGAAGUGGACACACUGAGGUCCCAGUUGAGCGAUGAAGCUGCGCACCAUCAGAAUCAAGUGCAGGGUCUAAAUGAGGAACUGGAUGCACUGAGGAAGAGGCUGGAGAAUGAAGUCGAGAAAGUCUCAUGUCUUGAGUCCAAAGUUUUGGAGCUUGAGUCUGCCAACAGUGAUUACAGUCAGAUGAUCGAAAAGAAAAAUGCCCUCUUCGGUGAUUCUGAAACUAUAAUUAAUCAAAAAGAGGAACAGAUAAAAGGCCUUAGAGUGGACUUAACAAGAGCUGAGGAGGAACUGGCUCUUACUCAGCAGUCCUGUAAUGAACUGGGUGUAAACUUAAGCAGAAGUGCGAUGGAGAAGCAAGCCAUUGAACUGAAGAUGUCUGCUGAGAUAGAUGACCUUUAUCGUACCAAACAGAAUCUGGAAGAGAGGCUCAUUGAGCUCAUAAGGGACAAAGAUGCUUUAUGGCAGAAGUCUGAUGCACUGGAGUUUGAACAGAAACAGAGGGCUGAGGAACAGACAGACAGAGACGUCACAUACUGUCUGAGCUGCCGCAACCACUUCACCUGGAUGCUGCGCAAACAUAGCUGCAGGUUCUGUGGGCGCCCAUUCUGUUACUACUGCCUUGUUCAUGAUGCAAGUGUCCACCAGGGCGGCAGCAGCAUGCGCUGUUGUAAAGACUGCUUUAAUCAGCGCAGUUCUGGACGUGGGGACCUGGGCAGUCCUUUACGUUCAGCCCACAGCCCAAUAUCAAGCCCCACGCGAACCAGCACACCUGGUGUCCCAGGGGCACUGAAGUCCCCUCGGCCUGAUGACACAGCAUAUGACAUCAUCACACAAGAGGAAGUGAACUGUGUCCAUGACAGUGACUCGUUAUACUACACUGCUGUGCUGCCCUCAGAGACACAACAGCUAAGCAGCAGUGACAUCACCAGCACAGAAGAUUCAGACGAGUUGAUUGGCUCCGUUCAGGAUGCUGAGAUCUGCCUGUUAAAAUCUGGAGAGAUGACGCUGUCUGUGCCGUUCAGUGUGGAGGACGUGGUUCAGUUUGGCGAUAAGUCCAGAGAACUCUUCAUCAGGUCCAGCUGUUACAGUGUCAUUCUCAUAACCGCUGCACAUCCGGGUCUUACGAUCAGCUGGGUCUUCUCUUCUGAACCCAAGAGCAUCGCCUUCAUGGUGGUGUACAGAGAGAACCUAGAUACGCCUCCAGAACAGGCUAAGGUUCUGAUCCCUCUGACAAGAUGUAACUCUCAUAAAGAAACAAUUCAGGGUCAACUGAAGGUCAGGAACUCUGGAGAAUAUACUCUUGUCUUCGACAACUCCUUCUCAAGGUUCCUCUCGAAGAAAGUCCAGUACAAACUGAGUAUAGAGAAGCCAGAGGUCUGCAAUGGAAGUGAUUGUUCUUCAUAGGAAAUCGAAUCACGCACACUUGUGUCUGUACCAGGUCACGGGACGGCUUGUCCAGGAAUAUGGCUGUUUAUCAAGCCCAACUUCUAAUGCUGCUUUCAAUGAUUUACGUGGGCUGCAUCUAGUAAUGCUCAGAUGCCGGUUGCCCGUGGUUACGGCUGCAGAGGGCGAGCGCCGUUGAGCUCACUGCGAAGUCCAUUUGAACACAGCGUGUUUGUGCUGCAGAGUCCAGACCGUUUCCCAAGGUUAAUGAACCCAUUGUAAAUCAGAUCACAUCCUGUGACCGGCCUGCAAUGAUCAGAGAUUUACACACAUACAGGGAGAGAGAGAUGGGGGAGGGGUGUAG